rnacentral:lncRNA from 1 species
ACCAUGUUGACCAAUGGCCCAUAUGUCAUCCAUGGACACCAUAAGCCACUAUCAUGUUGACAGAUCAUCCAAAUGUCAUCCAUGGACACCAUAAGCCAUUACCAUGUUGACCAAUGACCCAUAUGUCAUCCAUAUGUAUCAUAAGGCACUACCAUGUUCACCAAUGACCUAUAUGUCAUCCAUGGACACCAUAAGCUAGUAUCAUGUUGACUAAUCAUUCAUAUAUCAUCCAUGGACACCAUAAGCUACUUCCAUGUUAACCAAUGGUCCAUAUGCCAUCCAUAUGUCAUCCAUCGACACCAUAAACCACUACGAUGUUGGCCAAUGACCCUGACUUUCAUCCAUAUGUCAUCCAUGGACACCAUAAGCCAUUACCAUGUUGACUAAUGACCUGUAUGUCAUCCAUGGACACCAUAAGCCACUACCAUGUUGACUAAUGACCCAUAUGUCAUCCAUAUGUCAUCCAUCGACAUUAUAACCCACUACCAUGUUGACCAAUGACCCAUAUGUCAUCCAUGGAUACCAUAAGCCACUACCAUGUUGAGCAAUGACCCAUACGUCAUCCAUGGACACCAUAAGCCACUACCAUGUUGACCAAUGACCCAUACGUCAUCCAUAUGUAAUCCGUGGACACCAUAAGCCACUACCAUAUUAACCAAUGACACAUAUUUCAUCCAUGGACACCAUAAGCCACUACCAUGUUGACCAAUGACCCAUACGUCAUCCAUAUGUCAUCCAUGGACACCAUAAGCCACUACCAUGUUGACCAAUGACCCAUAUGUUAUCCAUGGACACCAUAAGGCACUAGCAUGUUGACCAAUGACCCAUAUGUUAUCCAUAUACACCAUAAACCACUACCAUGUUGACCAAUGUCCCAUAUGUCAUCCAUGGACACCAUAUGCCAAUACCAUGUUGACGAAUGACCAAUAUGUAAUCCAUAUUCAUCCAUGGGUAUACCAUGGACACCAUGAGCCACUACCAUAUAUAUUGACAUGACCCGUACGUCUUUUGUAUAUAAAUUUCGGUUUAAACAUAAAAGCAUAAAGAUGUUGGGAAUGGAAUAUAGCUGAUCAAUCGCCGAUAAACUGAAACGACGGUAUAAGUCUGACUACAUAUUAUGGCGCCUAAGUGUUUAGACAAUGAAUUGACAUAAUUACCCUUUAACGUAUAAACGUUACUACGUAAAUGGUUAGGGUAUUUUUGUCAAUACCUACGGGCAUUUAUGUAAAUAAAUUGACAUUCUAAAUUUAAAGAGAUGAAGUUAAAUAAAAUUAAUGAUUAAAAUUCAAAAAGACGAAUAUAAUUAAAUUUUUUUACAUAAGUAGGAUUCGAACCAGCGACUUUGGGUAGGAAAAAGGACGCGUUAGCGAGAAAAACUAAAUUUACUUCAGUUUCUUCUAAUUGAAAAACCAUAAUAUUAUGUUCAUUAAUAUUGCAGCCCACAUAUCAUCCAUAUAAACCAUAAUCCAUUACCAUGUUGACCAACGGCCCAUAUGCCAUCCAUGGACAUCAUAAGCCACUAUCAUGUUGACCAAUCAUCCAUAUGUGAUCCAUGGACACCACAAGCCAUUACCAUGUUGACCAAUGACUCAUAUGUCAUCCAUAUACACCAUAAUCCACUACCAUGUUGACCAAUGGCCCAUAUGUAACCCAUGUACACCAAAAACCACUAUCAUGUUACCAAUCAUCCAUAUGUCAUCCAUGGACACCAUAAUCCAUUACCAUGUUGACCAAUGACCCAUAUGUCAUCCAUAUACACCAUAAGCCACUACCAUGUUCACCAAUGUCCCAUAUGUCAUCCAUGGACACCAUAAGCAAACUAUCAUGUUGACCUAUCAUCCAUAUGUCAUCCAUGGACACCAUAAUCCAUUACCAUGUUGACCAAUGACCCAUAUGUCAUCCAUAUACACCAUAAGCCACUACCAUGUUCACCAAUGUCCCAUAUGUCAUCCAUGGACACCAUAAGCAAACUAUCAUGUUGACCUAUCAUCCAUAUGUCAUCCAUGGACACCAUAAUCCAUUACCAUGUUGACCAAUGACCCAUAUGUCAUCCAUAUACACCAUAAGCCACUACCAUGUUCACCAAUGUCCCAUAUGUCAUCCAUGGACACCAUAAGCAAACUAUCAUGUUGACCUAUCAUCCAUAUGUCAUCCAUGGACACCAUAAUCCAUUACCAUGUUGACCAAUGACCCAUAUGUCAUCCAUAUACACCAUAAGCCACUACCAUGUUCACCAAUGUCCCAUAUGUCAUCCAUGGACACCAUAAGCAAACUAUCAUGUUGACCUAUCAUCCAUAUGUCAUCCAUGGACACCAUAAUCCAUUACCAUGUUGACCAAUGACCCAUAUGUCAUCCAUAUACACCAUAAGCCACUACCAUGUUCACCAAUGUCCCAUAUGUCAUCCAUGGACACCAUAAGCAAACUAUCAUGUUGACCUAUCAUCCAUAUGUCAUCCAUGGACACCAUAAUCCAUUACCAUGUUGACCAAUGACCCAUAUGUCAUCCAUAUACACCAUAAGCCACUACCAUGUUCACCAAUGUCCCAUAUGUCAUCCAUGGACACCAUAAGCAAACUAUCAUGUUGACCUAUCAUCCAUAUGUCAUCCAUGGACACCAUAAUCCAUUACCAUGUUGACCAAUGACCCAUAUGUCAUCCAUAUACACCAUAAGCCACUACCAUGUUCACCAAUGUCCCAUAUGUCAUCCAUGGACACCAUAAGCAAACUAUCAUGUUGACCUAUCAUCCAUAUGUCAUCCAUGGACACCAUAAUCCAUUACCAUGUUGACCAAUGACCCAUAUGUCAUCCAUAUACACCAUAAGCCACUACCAUGUUCACCAAUGUCCCAUAUGUCAUCCAUGGACACCAUAAGCAAACUAUCAUGUUGACCUAUCAUCCAUAUGUCAUCCAUGGACACCAUAAUCCAUUACCAUGUUGACCAAUGACCCAUAUGUCAUCCAUAUACACCAUAAGCCACUACCAUGUUCACCAAUGUCCCAUAUGUCAUCCAUGGACACCAUAAGCAAACUAUCAUGUUGACCUAUCAUCCAUAUGUCAUCCAUGGACACCAUAAGCCAUUACCAUGUUGACCAAUGACGCAUAUGUUAUCCAUAUACAACAUAAGCCACUACCAUGUUGACUAAUGGCCCAUAGGUCAUCCAUGGACACCAUAAGCCACUAUCAUGUUGACCAAUAGUCCAUAUGUCAUCCACGGACACCAUAAGCCAUUACCAUGUUGACCAAUGACGCAUAUGUUAUCCAUAUACAACAUAAGCCACUACCAUGUUGACCAAUGUCCCAUAUGUCAUCCAUGGACGCCAUAAGCCACUAUAAUGAUGACCAAUCAUCCAUAUGUCAUCUCUGGACUCCAUAAGCCAUUACCAAGUUGACCAAUGACCCAUAUGUCAUCCAUGUACACCGUAAGCCACUACCAUGUUCACAAUUGACCCAUAUGUCAUCCAUCUACACCAUAUGCCACUAUCAUGUUGACCAAUCAUCCAUAUGUAAUCCAUGGACACCAUAAGCCAUUACCAUGUUGACUAAUGACCCAUAUGUCAUCCAUGUACACCGUAAGCCACUACCAUGUUCACAAUUGACCCAUAUGUCAUCCAUCUACACCAUAUGCCACUAUCAUGUUGACCAAUCAUCCAUAUGUAAUCCAUGGACACCAUAAGCCAUUACCAUGUUGACCAAUGACCCAUAUAUCAUCCAUAUACAACGUAAGCCACUACCAUGUUGACCAAUGGACCAUACCUCAUCCAUGGACAACAUAAGCCACUAUCAUGUUGACCAAUCAUCUAUAUGUCAUCCGUGGACACCAUAAGCCAUUACCAUGUUGACCAAUGACCCAUAUAUCAUCCAUAUACAACGUAAGCCACUACCAUGUUGACCAAUGGCCCAUAUGUCAUCCAUGGACACCAUAAGCAAUUAUCAUGUCGACCAAUCAUCCUUAUGUCAUCCACGGACACCAUAAGCCAUUAACAUGUUGACAAUUGACCCAUAUGUCAUCCAUAUACACCGUAAGCCACUUCCAUGAUGACCAAUGUCCCAUAUGUCAUCCAUGGACACCAUAAGCCACUAUAAUGUUGACCAAUCAUCCAUAUAUCCUCCAUGGACACCAUAAGCCAUUACCAUGUUAACCAAUGACCCAUAUGUCAUCCAUAUACACCGUAAGCAACUACCAUGUUCACCAAUGACUCAUAUGUCAUCCAUCGACACCAUAAGCCAUUAUCAUGUUGACCAAUCAUCCAUAUGUCAUCCAUAGACACCAUAAGCCAUUACCAUGUUGACUAAUGACCCAUAUGUCAUCCAUAUAAACCAAAAGCCACUACCAUGUUGACCAAUGGCCCAUAUGUCAUCCAUGGAAACCAUAAGCCACUGUUAGGUUGACCAAUCAUCCAUAUGACAUCCCUGGACACCAUAAGAGAUUACCAUGUUGACCAAUGACCCAUAUGUGAUCCAUAUACACCGUAAGCCACUACCAUGUUGACCAAUGGCCCAUAUGUCAUCCAUGGACACCAUAAGCCACUAUCAUGUUGACAGAUCAUCCAAAUGUCAUCCAUGGACACCAUAAGCCAUUACCAUGUUGACCAAUGACCCAUAUGUCAUCCAUAUGUAUCAUAAGGCACUACCAUGUUCACCAAUGACCUAUAUGUCAUCCAUGGACACCAUAAGCUAGUAUCAUGUUGACUAAUCAUUCAUAUGUCAUCCAUGGACACCAUAAGCUACUUCCAUGUUAACCAAUGGUCCAUAUGCCAUCCAUAUGUCAUCGAUGGACACCAUAAACCACUACGAUGUUGGCCAAUGACCCUUACUUUCAUCCAUAUGUCAUCCAUGGACACCAUAAGCCAUUACCAUGUUGACCAAUGACCCGUAUGUCUUCCAUGGACACCAUAAGCCACUACCAUGUUGACUAAUGACCCAUAUGUCAUCCAUAUGUCAUCCAUGGACAUUAUAACCCACUACCAUGUUGACCAAUGACCCAUAUGUCAUCCAUGGAUACCAUAAGCCACUACCAUGUUGAGCAAUGACCCAUACGUCAUCCAUGGACACCAUAAACCACUACCAUGUUGACCAAUGACCCAUACGUCAUCCAUAUGUAAUCCGUGGACACCAUAAGCCACUACCAUGUUAACCAAUGACACAUAUUUCAUCCAUGGACACCAUAAGCCACUACCAUGUUGACCAAUGACCCAUACGUCAUCCAUAUGUCAUCCAUGGACACCAUAAGCCACUACCAUGUUGACCAAUGACCCAUAUGUUAUCCAUGGACACCAUAAGGCACUAGCAUGUUGACCAAUGACCCAUAUGUUAUCCAUAUACACCAUAAACCACUACCAUGUUGACCAAUGUCCCAUAUGUCAUCCAUGGACACCAUAUGCCAAUACCAUGUUGACGAAUGACCAAUAUGUCAUCCAUAUUCAUCCAUGGGUAUACCAUGGACACCAUGAGCCACUACCAUAUAUAUUGACAUGACCCGUACGUCUUUUGUAUAUAAAUUUUGGUUUAAACAUAAAAGCAUAAAGAUGUUGGGAAUGGAAUAUAGAUGAUCAAUCGCCGAUAAACUGAAACGACGGUAUAAGUCUGACUACAAAUUAUGGCGCCUAAGUGUUUAGACAAUGAAUUGACAUAAUUACCCUUUAACGUAUAAACGUUACUACGUAAAUGGUUAGGGUAUUUUUGUCAAUACCUAUGGGAAUUUAUGUAAAUAAAUUGACAUUCUAAAUUUAAAGAGAUGAAGUUAAAUAAAAUUAAUGAUUAAAAUUCAAAAAGACGAAUUUAAUUAAAUUUUUUUACAUAAGUAGGAUUCGAACUAGCGACUUCGGGUAGGAAAAAGGACGCGUUAGCGAGAAAAACUAAAUUUACUUCAGUUUAUUCUAAUUGAAAAACCAUAAUAUUAUGUUCAUUAAUAUUGCAGCCCACAUAUCAUCCAUAUAACCCAUAAUCCAUUACCAUGUUGACCAACGGCCGAUAUGCCAUCCAUGGACAUCAUAAGCCACUAUCAUGUUGACCAAUCAUCCAUAUGUGAUCCAUGGACACCACAAGCCAUUACCAUGUUGACCAAUGACUCAUAUGUCAUCCAUAUACACCAUAAUCCACUACCAUGUUGACCAAUGGCCCAUAUGUAACCCAUGGACACCAAAAACCACUAUCAUGUUACCAAUCAUCCAUAUGUCAUCUAUGGACACCAUAAGCCAUUAUCAUGUUGACAAAUGACCCAUAUGUCAUCCAUAUACACCAUAAGCCACUACCAUGUUCACCAAUGACCUAUAUGUCAUCCACGCACACCAUAAGCCACUAUCAUGUUGACCAAUCAUCCAUAUGUCAUCCAUGGCCACCAUAAGCCAGUACUAUGUUGACCAAUGACCCAUAUGUCAUCCAUAUACACAAUAAGCCACUACCAAGUUAACCAAUGGCACAUAUGUCAUCCAUGGACACCAUAAGCCACUAUCAUGUUGACCAAUCAUCCAUAAGUCAUCCCUGAACACCAUAAGCCAUUACCAUGUUGACCAUUGACCAUAUGUCAUCCAUAUACACCAUAAGCCUCAACCAUGUUCACCAACGGACCAUAUGUCAUUCAUGGACAACAUAAGCCACUAUCUUGUUGACCAAUCAUCCAUAUGUCAUCCAUGGACACCAUAAGCCAUUACCAUGUUGACCAAUGACCCAUAUGUCAUCCAUAUACACCAUAAACCACUACCAUGUUCACCAAUGAACC